rnacentral:rRNA from 1 species
CAGCCGCCGCGGGAAUACGUAGGGUGCGAGCGUUAAUCGGAGUUACUGGGCGUAAAGCGUGCGCAGGCGGUUCGUUAAGACAGAUGUGAAAUCCCCGGGCUUAACCUGGGAACUGCAUUUGUGACUGGCGAGCUAGAGUAUGGCAGAGGGGGGUAGAAUUCCACGUGUAGCAGUGAAAUGCGUAGAGAUGUGGAGGAAUACCGAUGGCGAAGGCAGCCCCCUGGGCCAAUACUGACGCUCAUGCACGAAAGCGUGGGGAGCAAACAGGAUUAGAUACCCCUGUAGUCCCUGUCUCUUAUAC